CUCCUCUUUGAUCUUUACUUUGGGAGAACAUGGGCUAUCUUUUUCUUGUUUUUUUUCAGGUGGGUAGUAGAUACCCCUAAUUCUACUGUCGGACACUUGUCCAUUUUUUCCGCUCAAGUGGGCAUCUUUGUACCUCUAAUUCUACUUCGGACACUUGUCCAUUUUUACCACUCGUCUCACUCUUUUUCUUUUAUCGAGGUUCCGGGCACUUGCCCCUUUUUAUUUCCUCGCAUAUUUUUGCAUAACCCAUGCCUCUUCUGCAUUGAAUCUUUUUAGAGAGAGAGAAUAACAAUAUUUGGAACAGUGAGUGAUAAUAUUUUUAGCAAUUUUACUGAUUGG
rnacentral:lncRNA from 1 species